rnacentral:rRNA from 1 species
CCGUGCAAAGGUAGCACAAUCACUUGUCUCCUAAAUCGAGACCUGAUGAAUGGAUCACGAGGAUUCAACUGUCUCCCCUCACCAAUCAGUGAAACUAAUCUCCCUGUGAAAAAGCAGGACUACUUAUACAAGACGAGAAGACCCUAUGGAGCUUUAAACCACUAACACUUGCUCUACUUCCCAUAACCAUUUAGCAUAGUACUUACACGUUUUCGGUUGGGGCGACCCUGGAGAAAAACCUAACCUCCAUGCUGUUAAAUAUAUGAACCUCAAUUCUACAAUCAACAUAUUGACACAAUUGACCCAAACAUUUGAUCAACGAACCAAGUUACCCUAGGGAUAACAGCGCCAUCCACUUCAAGAGUACAUAUCUACAAGUGGGCUUACGACCUCGAUG